CUCUCUUCUCCUUCUCUCCUCUCAUGUCUGAAAUUCGAACGAUUUGGUGAUUUCAGGGAUCACGAAUCCCAAAUCAAGCUGACCAAUUUAUUUUCCGACUUAGGGUUUUGAGGUUUACGUAUAAAGUUGUUUUAGGGUUCAGUCUAUCUUCUUUGGUCUCUAAAAAUUGUGCACAAAGAUGAAGAAAAUCCCUAAACUUCUCAUUUUCUUUAAGUAUGAUAAAGCGUUUCGCUUGAUUUCACCCUUAGGUUUGAUUUUCGAUUAUGGGUUUCAUUGAAUCUGAUCUUGUGUGGAACCUCUUUUCUUAGUACUAGGGUUUUUGAUUUGAGAGAUCGUGAAGAGGAAUAACGCUUUCCUCAUCAAAGAGUUUGGAAAUGAAAAUCAGAUGCUUCAAACACCCUGAGUUAGCAAAUACAAAGACAGUUUCAGUUCAAGAUGGAAAAAAUUCGGGCAUAUGGAUGAGAGCUGAUGAUGUUGUGGUCAAAGUUUGAGGCGACGACUCUCAUGAGAGAUGCUGGUAUCAGGUCUGGUCGUGGUUGCGGAUGGAAGGGCAGGGGUUGCUACGAACCCGUUUUACGAACCCACAAGCCUCUUCAUGUGGAGUUAGAACCUGGAAUUUUGGGAAUAUUUUAGAAAAAUUUGAAGCAUCAUAUAGCUUAACGAUAGAUGGAGCAUAAGGAAGAAGAGUCAGUCGAAGAUGAGGCGCCUGUGAUAACAAUAUGGGAAGCAAUUGGAUGGCUAGGUUGUUUUAACUCUUUGGAUUUUCGUUCUUUCUGGAUACCUGGUCAAUGCGAUAGAGGUUGCUUGUGGCAUUGUGGACAUAGUUGAAGGAGAUGCUGAUAAUUAGUCAAAUGUCCUGCAGUACGUCAAAGAAUUGUAAAAAAAAAAAGAGAGAGUAAGUAACAUAGUUAAAGGACUGUAGUCCUCUAUAACUUGUGUGAAUGGUUGAUUUGUUGUUUGCUGCAGAUAUUGAGCGACUUCAUGUUGGGAAAAGUGGAAGACUAUCUCCAGCUAUUAGUGGAUAGCUAAUUUUCAGUCAGCCACUUUCAAAUUCUCUAGAUAUACUUGGGAAUCAUCUCUGAUCAAAGCUUAAAUCUAAUACAUAAAAGAUUAACCUGAAUGUGUCUUUUCCCGUAGCAACCGGAUUCCUGAAACUGCUUUGAUUGCGCGGUCUUAUCUUCCAAACAAGGUCUCAGAGAUACUAGCACUUUGGAGAAACGACCUCAACAAGAGGUAUACAGAAGAUCUCUUUAUUGUAUGAUUUCAUGAAUUGCCCAAGUUCAAUGAUGGUUAGCAUUCAUAAUUUAAUGAAUUGGAAAAGAAACAUACCGGGGAAGGUGUACAAGCAGCUGAAAGCUUUGUGGUCCUUGAAGGCUACAAGUAGUUGGGAGGGAAUCUCAGAUUGAUAAAGUAUAUAUGAUCCCGUAUAGUUGGGAGUUAGGAGGGAAUCUCAGCUAGAAACUGGACUAUGACACUCCCUCCCUGCUCACCCGUAUGUUUCUCUACCGAGAUUUCUUUAUUUGGCUGUUACUUGUCAUUAUUUGAAAGCAAAACAAUUUAGGAAAUAAAUCUA